rnacentral:rRNA from 1 species
UGCCAGCCGCCGCGGUAAUACAGAAGCCUCAAGCGUUACCCGGAUUCACUGGGCGUAAAGGGUGCGUAGGCGGUUAUAUUAGUCAGUUGUUAAAACUCUGGGCUCAACCUAGAGAUCGCAAUUGAAACGGUAUAACUAGAAGAAGUAAGAGGUGCACAGAACUCAUGGUGUAGGGGUGAAAUCCGUUGAUAUCAUGGGGAAUACCAAAUGCGAAGGCAGUGCACUGGGACUUUCUUGACGCUGAGGCACGAAAGCGUGGGUAGCGAACGGGAUUAGAUA